rnacentral:rRNA from 1 species
AUUGAACGCUGGCGGCAGGCUUAACACAUGCAAGUCGAGCGGGGAAGGGUAGCUUGCUACCUAACCUAGCGGCGGACGGGUGAGUAAUGCUUAGGGAUCUGCCUAUUAGUGGGGGACAACAUUCCGAAAGGAAUGCUAAUACCGCAUACGCCCUACGGGGGAAAGCAGGGGAUCUUCGGACCUUGCGCUAAUAGAUGAGCCUAAGUCAGAUUAGCUAGUUGGUGGGGUAAAGGCCUACCGAGGCGACGAUCUGUAGCGGGUCUGAGAGGAUGAUCCGCCACACUGGGACUGGAACACGGCCCAGACUCCUACGGGAGGCAGCAGUGGGGAAUAUUGGACAAUGGGCGCAAGCCUGAUCCAGCCAUGCCGCGUGUGUGAAGAAGGCCUUUUGGUUGUAAAGCACUUUAAGCGAGGAGGAGGCUACCGAGAUUAAUACUCUUGGAUAGUGGACGUUACUCGCAGAAUAAGCACCGGCUAACUCUGUGCCAGCCGCCGCGGUAAGAC